rnacentral:lncRNA from 1 species
UUAAUCUCAAACUAUUACAAUGAUGUAUUUAUAGAAAGAACACAUUCUCUAACAACUUAACUAACUAAGAGUUAUAAUCCUGUGACAGAUGGCACAAUCCUAGCCACUGUCUAUAUCUAUAUCCUUACAGUAUGGGGUUGUAAUAAACCUCAAAGCCUAAGAGGCUACUGUGUAAUUUACCCUUGAACUUAUUACUAUAUUUUACAGAAGCACUAUUUGAUGUGAUCAUGAUCAUGAAUUGCAUUAUGUAAUUGAUUCGUUGAAACCCAAAACCCUAAAACAGUGGAUAAAUUGACCCAAUGGUCUCCAUUGCAAUGACCCUAGCUAGACCCUAAUGCCAAAGAGAUCCAGAAGGGAAUUCGAUCUGGUUCUUCUAGGGCUUUGCAUACCUAAUAGGUUGUAUAAUCUGCAUGCAAGCAGUUUAUAUCUAAUUAAUAUUAGGAGAAGUUGCUGCUAAAAGUGAGUCAUUCAUGAGUUGCAUUUGCCUUGGAAUUCAGGGUUAGGACUUGGAGGUAUUGGAUAGGAGAUCUACCGAUUCAGGACUCGAAGCAAUAAAGGGCAAAUCAUAUAAGGUGAAAUUGACUUCCAUUUAGCAAGUGACCACUUGCCAGAUUUGACAAAAUGCAGCAAGUUAUGAACAAUUAUUUAGAGGAGAUGUCAUAGAGUUUAGCGGAAAGCUAGUUCAGUUGUACCGAAUCUGAAUUUAGAUAUUCAUAGAGGUACAUAAUUGACAGAACUUGUCUUUAUUGUAAAGUAUAUUUGACGUAUUAUAUUUUCUGAGUCGGAAAGAAGAACAAAUAUGGGUUGACAAAACCUCAUGCUGGUAUUUGUCAUCACUAGUUUGAAAGGACGUUUUUGAAUUGUUGUAAAUAUGAUUUGGAUGCAACAAAAAUAUAUAAAUAUCCACAUAGUGUGGUCUCAGAUCACUUCUCAAAUCAUUUCAACCAGAUUUUGAUCUUGGUAAAUGAUUGCCAUAAUAUUAAGUUAAUUAUGAAGAACCAACACCUAAACUAUCUAUUAACAAAAUCCUCUUCGUCAAUUAAAAUAGUGUAAAACAAUCAAACAACUCUAUCAACAAAAUUAAAGAAAAAUAACCAAAAUAAAAGUUAGGAGCAAUAUUUCAAUUGCUCAUAAGCGCAUGCAUCAUUUUAUAUUUUCUCUCUUUAUAAAUUUUAUUUAUAAAACUUUCAUAAGCAGAUGCAUAACACGUGUACAAUUGCUAAUAAUUAUUAAUUAAUUAUAGAGCUAACACAUAUGUAUCACAUUGAAUUGAUCACGAUAGUAUGAGAACACUCGACUACUAUGGUGGGCUGACAAGACUGAGCUCUAGGAGUGCAAUAGCAUCACUUGGGGCCUAGUUUGGUCUUGGAGUAACUGAAACAAACAAACAAAGAAUCAACUUGUGUUUCCAAUGGCCUACCCAACUGGACAAACCUGGAGCCACUCUCAACCACUUAAAAAAAGCAAUUGGUCCUCCACCCAAAAUCCUUGUCCUUGAGAGUCCUAAAUUCAAGUAUUCUUUCAAC